CGUGCAUUCUGGGAGAUUGUUCUUCCUCCAGGGCACGCUUGACUGUUCUAAGAAUAACUGAGUCCUCUGACUAGUGAAUUAGUUCAUAAACAUGUGAGCAAUCCAAUGCUGGCCAAAGAGAUGCAGGGUGUUGCUAGAGACUUCUAGGAUUAAGAAUGGCACAUUCCAAGGGGCUUAUGGGAAAUUUUAACGCAUCUGUAUCUGUAAAUACGUGGGCGGUUAAGGAGAAGCAACAAGGCGCACCGAACAUUUUUGAGGACAGAGAGAACAGCAGCCAUCAUGGCGCCUGCACUGGAAAAGCGAGGGAAUGCUACGGUGCCAAGGAAAGGCCACAUGAGCACACGAUGGGAAGGAGUCCAUCUAUACACCAGGAAGAGAGCCCCACCAGGGACUGAAUUGGCUAGCGCCUUGAUCUGGAACUUCCCAGCCAUAGGAACUGUGAGAAAAUACAUUUCGGUUGUCCAAGUCCAUCCCACCCCCGCCCAGUGGUGUUUCAUUAUGACAGUCUGAGCAGACUCAUAUCUCCAUAUUUCCCUGCUUCUGGUUUUUCUCCUACUGGUAACAAUUUUAGAUGGAUUAAACUGUUUCUU